rnacentral:rRNA from 1 species
CCUACGGGUGGCAGCAGUGAGGAAUAUUGGUCAAUGGUCGGAAGGCUGAACCAGCCAUGUCGCGUGAAGGUUAGUGCCCUAUGGGCGUUAAACUUCUUUUGUGCGGGAGCAAUAAUGGUCACGUGUGGCUAGACGAGAGUACCGUACGAAUAAGCAUCGGCUUACUCCGUGCCAGCAGCCGCGGUUAUACUGGGGAUGCAAGCGUUAUCCGGAUUUAUUGGGUUUAAAGGGUGCGUAGGCUGUGAGGUAAGUCAGCGCUUGAAUGCCCCCGCUCAACGGGGUGAAGUGCCAUGGAUACUGGCUUGCUGGAAUGCGGAGACCGUGGGAGGAAUGUGUGGUGUAGCGGUGAAAUGCAUAGAUAUCACAAAGAACACCGAUUGCGAAGGCAUCACACGAAUCCGCGAUUGACGCUGAUGCACGAAGGCGUGGGUAUCAAACAGGAUUAGAUACCCUGGUAGUC